GAUGAACGCUGGCGGCGUGCCUAAUACAUGCGAGUCGAGCGAACAGACGAGGAGCUUGCUCCUCUGACGUUAGCGGCGGACGGGUGAGUAACACGUGGAUAACCUACCUAUAAGACUGGGAUAACUUCGGGAAACCGGAGCUAAUACCGGAUAAUAUAUUGAACCGCAUGGUUCAAUAGUGAAAGACGGUUUUGCUGUCACUUAUAGAUGGAUCCGCGCCGCAUUAGCUAGUUGGUAAGGUAACGGCUUACCAAGGCAACGAUGCGUAGCCGACCUGCGAGGGUGAUCGGCCACACUGGAACUGAGACACGGUCCAGACUCCUACGGGAGGCAGCAGUAGGGAAUCUUCCGCAAUGGGCGAAAGCUUGACGGAGCAACGCCGCGUGAGUGAUGAAGGUCUUCGGAUCGUAAAACUCUGUUAUUAGGGAAGAACAAAUGUGUAAGUAACUAUGCACGUCUUGACGGUACCUAAUCAGAAAGCCACGGCUAACUACGUG
rnacentral:rRNA from 1 species